rnacentral:lncRNA from 13 species
UGUUUCUUUCAAGAUUUUCAAUGUUUUUCCUUGUUUUUAUUGAAUAUGUGUUGUCGAUUCGAUAUCAAUUCGAUACUCGCAAGAGUUGCAGUGAAACGCGCCGCGGCGCGGUGCGUCGCCGCACCGCGGUCUGCUCCUCUAACCUCUUUUUGUCUUUCGUCCCUACCUUGGUACCGGCCGGCUAAAAUGGACAGAAGUGUACAACGUGUAUCAUCGCUUUAUAUAGACUAUUAUUAUUGUUUCCGGUAAAAAAGAAAGUUUCGAAACGUAGUCGAAACUAUAAGAAGCUUGCUAAAGUAUACCACGUGUAUCUGCAUAUAUUGCUUUAUAUCACAGACUAUUCUUUCCUGUAAAAAAAGGAAUUGAAAUAAAAUUGUACGUUUCGAAAGAUAGCCACAGCUAUAAAAGAAGCUGGCUAAAGUAUAUAACGUGUGUGCCUGCAUAUAAGUGCACGAUAUCA